UACAGAGGUCUCAAGCGUUGUUCGGAUUCAUUGGGCGUAAAGGGUGCGUAGGUGGCUUGGUAAGUUGAAGGUGAAAUCUCGGAGCUCAACUCCGAAACUGCCUUCAAUACUGCCGGGCUCGAGGACUGUAUAGGAGAAUGGAAUUCACGGUGUAGCAGUGAAAUGCGUAGAUAUCGUGAGGAAGACCAGUGGCGAAGGCGAUUCUCUGGGCAGUUCCUGACACUGAGGCACGAAGGCCAGGGGAGCAAACGGG
rnacentral:rRNA from 1 species